UACGUAGGGGGCAAGCGUUGUCCGGAAUCAUUGGGCGUAAAGCGCGUGUAGGCGGUUCGGUAAGUCUGCUGUGAAAGUCCAGGGCUCAACCCUGGGAUGCCGGUGGAUACUGUCGGGCUAGAGUGCGGAAGAGGUGAGUGGAAUUCCUGGUGUAGCGGUGAAAUGCGCAGAUAUCAGGAGGAACACCAAUGGCGAAGGCAGCUCACUGGGACGGUAUUGACGCUGAGACGCGAAAGCAUGGGGAGCAAACAGG
rnacentral:rRNA from 1 species